rnacentral:rRNA from 1 species
UGCCAGCCGCCGCGGUAAUACGGAGGGUGCAAGCGUUAUCCGGAUUUAUUGGGUUUAAAGGGUGCGCAGGCGGGGCAAUAAGUCAGUGGUGAAAGCCCAUCGCUUAACGAUGGAACUGCCAUUGAAACUGUUGCUCUUGAAUGUAGUUGAAGUGAACGGAAUGUAACAUGUAGCGGUGAAAUGCAUAGAUAUGUUACAGAACACCAAUUGCGAAGGCAGUUCACUAAGCUAUUAUUGACGCUCAGGCACGAAAGCGUGGGGAUCAAACAGGAUUAGAUA